AGUGAACGCUGGCGGUAGGCCUAACACAUGCAAGUCGAACGACAGCACAGUAAGAGCUUGCUCUUACGGGUGGCGAGUGGCGGACGGGUGAGGAAUACAUCGGAAUCUACUUUUUCGUGGGGGAUAACGUAGGGAAACUUACGCUAAUACCGCAUCCGAUCUACGGGUGAAAGCAGGGGAUCUUCGGACCUUGCGCGAUUGAAUGAGCCGAUGUCGGAUUAGCUAGUUGGCGGGGUAAAGGCCCACCAAGGCGACGAUCCGUAGCUGAUCUGAGAGGAUGAUCAGCCACACUGGAACUGAGACACGGUCCAGACUCCUACGGGAGGCAGCAGUGGGGAAUAUUGGACAAAGGGCGCAAGCCUGAUCCAGCCAUACCGCGUGGGUGAAGAAGGCCUUCGGAUUGUAAAGCCCUUUUGUUGGGAAAGAAAAGCAGCAGGUUAAUCCCCCGCUGUUCUGACGGUACCCAAAGAAUAAGCACCGGCUAACUUCGUG
rnacentral:rRNA from 1 species